AGAGCGAACGCUGGCGGCAGGCCUAACACAUGCAAGUCGAGCGCCAGUAGCAAUACGGGAGCGGCAGACGGGAUAGUAACACGUGGGAACGCGCCCUUCGGUUCGGAAUAACUCAGGGAAACUUGAGCUAAUACCGGAUACGCCCUUACGGGGAAAGAUUUAUUGCCGAAGGAACGGCCCGCGUCCGAUUAGCUAGUUGGUGAGGUAAUGGCUCACCAAGGCGACGAUCGGUAGCUGGUCUGAGAGGAUGACCAGCAUCACUGGGACUGAGACACGGCCCAGACUCCUACGGGAGGCAGCAGUGGGGAAUAUUGGACAAUGGGCGCAAGCCUGAUCCAGCCAUGCCGCGUGGAUGAUGAAGGCCUUAGGGUUGUAAAGUCCUUUUAACGGGGAAGAUAAUGACGGUACCCGUAGAAUAAGCCCGGCUAACUUCGCGCCAGCAGCCGC
rnacentral:rRNA from 1 species